rnacentral:rRNA from 1 species
UACGGGGGGGGCAAGCGUUGUUCGGAAUUACUGGGCGUAAAGGGCGCGUAGGCGGCUUUAUAAGUCGGGGGUGAAAGCCUGUGGCUCAACCACAGAAUUGCCUUCGAUACUGUAGAGCUUGAGACCGGAAGAGGUAAGUGGAACUGCGAGUGUAGAGGUGAAAUUCGUAGAUAUUCGCAAGAACACCAGUGGCGAAGGCGGCCAACUGGUCCGAUACUGACGCUGAGGCGCGAAAGCGUGGGGAGCAAACAGG